rnacentral:rRNA from 1 species
GAUGAACGCUGGCGGCGUGCCUAAUACAUGCAAGUCGAGCGAACAGAUGAGGAGCUUGCUCCUCUGACGUUAGCGGCGGACGGGUGAGUAACACGUGGAUAACCUACCUAUAAGACUGGGAUAACUUCGGGAAACCGGAGCUAAUACCGGAUAAUAUAUUGAACCGCAUGGUUCAAUAGUGAAAGACGGUUUUGCUGUCACUUAUAGAUGGAUCCGCGCCGCAUUAGCUAGUUGGUAAGGUAACGGCUUACCAAGGCAACGAUGCGUAGCCGACCUGAGAGGGUGAUCGGCCACACUGGAACGGAGACACGGUCCAGACUCCUACGGGAGGCAGCAGUAGGGAAUCUUCCGCAAUGGGCGAAAGCCUGACGGAGCAACGCCGCGUGAGUGAUGAAGGUCUUCGGAUCGUAAAACUCCGUUAUUAGGGAAGUACAAAUGUGUAAGUAACUAUGCACGUCUUGACGGUACCUAAUCAGAAAGCCACGGCUAACUACGUG